rnacentral:rRNA from 1 species
UGGGUAACCUGCCUCAAAGAGGGGAAUAGCCUCCCGAAAGGGAGAUUAAUACCGCAUAAUAUGUUUAGGUCGCAUGACUUUAACAUCAAAGGAUUUUUCUUUUAAGAAAUUCCACUUUGAGAUGGACCCGCGGCACAUUAGCUAGUUGGUGAGGUAACGGCUCACCAAGGCAACGAUGCGUAGCCGACCUGAGAGGGUGAUCGGCCACAUUGGAACUGAGACACGGUCCAGACUCCUAGGGAGG